rnacentral:rRNA from 1 species
AACGAACGCUGGCGGCAGGCUUAACACAUGCAAGUCGAGCGCCCCGCAAGGGGAGCGGCAGACGGGUGAGUAACGCGUGGGAACGUACCCUUUGCUACGGAAUAGCUCCGGGAAACUGGAAUUAAUACCGUAUGUGCCCUACGGGGGAAAGAUUUAUCGGCAAAGGAUCGGCCCGCGUUGGAUUAGCUAGUUGGUGGGGUAAUGGCCUACCAAGGCGACGAUCCAUAGCUGGUCUGAGAGGAUGAUCAGCCACAUUGGGACUGAGACACGGCCCAAACUCCUACGGGAGGCAGCAGUGGGGAAUAUUGGACAAUGGGCGCAAGCCUGAUCCAGCCACGCCGCGUGAGUGAUGAAGGCCUUAGGGUUGUAAAGCUCUUUCACCGGAGAAGAUAAUGACGGUAUCCGGAGAAGAAGCCCCGGCUAACUUCGUGCCAGCCGCCGCGGUAACAA